rnacentral:rRNA from 1 species
UACGGAGGGUGCGAGCGUUAUCCGGAUUCACUGGGUUUAAAGGGUGCGUAGGUGGGAAUGUAAGUCAGUGGUGAAAUCUCUGGGCUUAACUCAGAAACUGCCAUUGAUACUAUGUUUCUUGAAUUUUCUGGAGGUCAGCGGAAUAUGUCAUGUAGCGGUGAAAUGCUUGGAUAUGACAUAGAACACCAAUUGCGAAGGCAGCUGGCUACAGGGAUAUUGACACUGAGGCACGAAAGCGUGGGGAUCAAACAGG